rnacentral:piRNA from 1 species
UUGUUAGUUUAUGUUAAUGUACGUGUUGC